rnacentral:rRNA from 1 species
GACGAACGCUGGCGGCGUGCUUAACACAUGCAAGUCGAACGGUAAGGCCCUUCGGGGUACACGAGUGGCGAACGGGUGAGUAACACGUGGGUGAUCCGCCCUGCACUUCGGGACAAGCCUGGGAAACUGGGUCUAAUACCGGAUAGGACCACUGCCUGCAUGGGUGGUGGUGGAAAGCUUUUGCGGUGUGGGAUGGGCCCGCGGCCUAUCAGCUUGUUGGUGGGGUGAUGGACUACCAAGGCGACGACGGGUAGCCGGCCUGAGAGGGUGACCGGCCACACUGGGACUGAGAUACGGCCCAGACUCCUACGGGAGGCAGCAGUGGGGAAUAUUGCACAAUGGGCGCAAGCCUGAUGCAGCGACGCCGCGUGAGGGAUGACGGCCUUCGGGUUGUAAACCUCUUUCAGCACCGACGAAGCGCAAGUGACGGUAGGUGCAGAAGAAGGACCGGCCAACUACGUGCCAGCCGCCGCGGUAA